CCUACGGGCGGCAGCAGUGGGGAAUAUUGGACAAUGGGCGAAAGCCUGAUCCAGCCAUGCCGCGUGUGUGAAGAAGGCCUUCGGGUUGUAAAGCACUUUCAGUGGGGAAGAAAGCCUUGGGGCUAAUACCCUCGAGGAAGGACAUCACCCACAGAAGAGGCACCGGCUAACUCCGUGCCAGCAGCCGCGGUAAUACGGAGGGUGCGAGCGUUAAUCGGAAUUACUGGGCGUAAAGCGCGCGUAGGCGGUCUGAUAAGCCGGUUGUGAAAGCCCCGGGCUCAACCUGGGAACGGCAUCCGGAACUGUCAGGCUAGAGUGCAGGAGAGGAAGGUAGAAUUCCCGGUGUAGCGGUGAAAUGCGUAGAGAUCGGGAGGAAUACCAGUGGCGAAGGCGGCCUUCUGGACUGACACUGACGCUGAGGUGCGAAAGCGUGGGUAGCAAACAGGAUUAGAUACCCCAGUAGUC
rnacentral:rRNA from 1 species